UACGAAGGGGGCUAGCGUUGCUCGGAAUCACUGGGCGUAAAGGGUGCGUAGGCGGGUCUUUAAGUCAGGGGUGAAAUCCUGGAGCUCAACUCCAGAACUGCCUUUGAUACUGAGAAGCUUGAGUCCGGGAGAGGUGAGUGGAACUGCGAGUGUAGAGGUGAAAUUCGUAGAUAUUCGCAAGAACACCAGUGGCGAAGGCGGCUCACUGGUCCGGUACUGACGCUGAGGUGCGAAAGCGUGGGGAGCAAACAGG
rnacentral:rRNA from 1 species